ACUGCUCAGUAACACGUGGGUAACCUGCCUUACACAGGGGGAUAGCCUUCCGAAAGGAAGAUUAAUACCGCAUAAGAAGUAAUUACCGCAUGGUAGAAGCUUUAAAGGAGCAAUCCGGUGUAAGAUGGACCCGCGGCGCAUUAGCUAGUUAGUGAGGUAAUGGCUCACCAAGGCAACGAUGCGUAGCCGACCUGAGAGGGUGAUCGGCCACAUUGGAACUGAGAGACGGUCCAGACUCCUACGGGAGGCAGCAGUGGGGAAUAUUGCACAAUGGAGGAAACUCUGAUGCAGCAACGCCGCGUGAGUGACGAAGGCCUUCGGGUUGUAAAGCUCUGUCAUCUGGGACGAUAAUGACGGUACCAGAGGAGGAAGCCACGGCUAACUACGUGCCAGCAGCCGCGGUAAUACGUAGGUGGCGAGCGUUGUCCGGAAUUACUGGGCGUAAAGGAUGCGUAGGUGGGAAUUUAAGUCAGAUGUGAAAUACCCGAGCUUAACUUGGGCACUGCAUUUGAAACUGAAUUUCUUGAGUGCAGGAGAGGAAAGCGGAAUUCCUAGUGUAGCGGUGAAAUGCGUAGAGAUUAGGAAGAACACCAGUGGCGAAGGCGGCUUUCUGGACUGUAACUGACACUGAGGCAUGAAAGCGUGGGGAGCAAACAGGAUUAGAUACCCUGGUAGUCCACGCUGUAAACGAUGGGUACUAGGUGUGGGAGGUAUCGACUCCUUCCGUGCCGCAGUUAACACAAUAAGUACCCCGCCUGGGGAGUACGAUCGCAAGAUUAAAACUCAAAGGAAUUGGCGGGGGAGCAC
rnacentral:rRNA from 1 species